AUUGAACGCUGGCGGCAUGCCUUACACAUGCAAGUCGAACGGCAGCACGGGUGCUUGCACCUGGUGGCGAGUGGCGAACGGGUGAGUAAUACAUCGGAACAUGUCCUGUAGUGGGGGAUAGCCCGGCGAAAGCCGGAUUAAUACCGCAUACGAUCCACGGAUGAAAGCGGGGGACCUUCGGGCCUCGCGCUAUAGGGUUGGCCGAUGGCUGAUUAGCUAGUUGGUGGGGUAAAGGCCUACCAAGGCGACGAUCAGUAGCUGGUCUGAGAGGACGACCAGCCACACUGGGACUGAGACACGGCCCAGACUCCUACGGGAGGCAGCAGUGGGGAAUUUUGGACAAUGGGCGAAAGCCUGAUCCAGCAAUGCCGCGUGUGUGAAGAAGGCCUUCGGGUUGUAAAGCACUUUUGUCCGGAAAGAAAUCCUUGACUCUAAUACAGUCGGGGGAUGACGGUGCCGGAAGAAUAAGCACCGGCUAACUACGUG
rnacentral:rRNA from 1 species